rnacentral:rRNA from 1 species
AUUGAACGCUGGCGGCAUGCUUUACACAUGCAAGUCGAACGGUAACAGGCCGCAAGGUGCUGACGAGUGGCGAACGGGUGAGUAAUGCAUCGGAACGUGCCCAGGCGUGGGGGAUAACUACUCGAAAGAGUAGCUAAUACCGCAUACGAUCUAUGGAUGAAAGCGGGGGACCGUAAGGCCUCGCGCGAUUGGAGCGGCCGAUGUCAGAUUAGGUAGUUGGUGGGGUAAAGGCUCACCAAGCCAACGAUCUGUAGCUGGUCUGAGAGGACAACCAGCCACACUGGGACUGAGACACGGCCCAGACUCCUACGGGAGGCAGCAGUGGGGAAUUUUGGACAAUGGGCGCAAGCCUGAUCCAGCAAUGCCGCGUGCAGGAAGAAGGCCUUCGGGUUGUAAACUGCUUUUGUACGGAACGAAACGGCUCUGGUUAAUACCCGGGGCUAAUGACGGUACCGUAAGAAUAAGCACCGGCUAACUACGUG